rnacentral:rRNA from 1 species
CCUACGGGGCGAGMAGGGGCGAAACCUCCGCAAUGCGAGCAAUCGCGACGGGGGGACCCCAAGUGCCACUCUUAACGGGGUGGCUUUUCUUAAGUGUAAAAAGCUUUUGGAAUAAGGGCUGGGCAAGACCGGUGCCAGCCGCCGCGGUAACACCGGCAGCUCUAGUGGUAGCCAUUUUUAUUGGGCCUAAAGCGUUCGUAGCCGGUUUGAUAAGUCUCUGGUGAAAUCCUAUAGCUUAACUGUGGGACUUGCUGGAGAUACUAUUAGACUUGAGGUCGGGAGAGGUUAGCGGUACUCCCAGGGUAGGGGUGAAAUCCUGUAAUCCUGGGAGGACCACCUGUGGCGAAGGCGGCUAACUGGAACGAACCUGACGGUGAGGGACGAAAGCCAGGGGCGCGAACCGGAUUAGAUACCCGGGUAGUCCUGGCCGUAAACGAUGUGGACUUGGUGUUGGAAUGGCUUCGAGCUGCUCCAGUGCCGAARGGAAGCUGKUWARKCCMCCSCCUGGGAAGUACG